rnacentral:rRNA from 1 species
GAGCGCAAGACCCGCCGAGCAGGUGCAGAACUCUAUGCUGCGUAAAUUACCGCUUCGUUAUAUGAUCUCUGGUCUAUUACUACCCUUUAUCUCCUAUGCAUAGCACCCCAACGACUCGACACCCGGUCCUUUACCGCCUUACUGCCGGUGGCAAUGGGGCAGCCUCAACUAGGCACCGAGCCCUGCGGGCGGCCGGCGGCGGCAGGACUAGGCACCUUGUCCUUUUUGUCAAGGGGGAGGGGGGGUGUGGGCGGUGUUCGUUCCAGUUGUAGGUUCCUAGAGACGGCCGCACGCUUCCUCGUAGGGCUCUAGACCGAGUACCUCAAGCACUACGUUGGUUAUGUUUCUAGGGGAAACUCACUCCUCCGCCUACCUUCACAUCGCGGCUACCUAGACGACCGAAAGCCCUGCCACCCGAGAGACGCCCUUCACCUACUUCGCUGCCGGCGUCGGAACUCACUUCUGGGCGCCUAGAUACUUCUUCUUUGUUCGCAACUGAGUUCUGCCAUCUCGACCGGCGUCCACAACCAGACGACCUCUAAAGUUAGCCGUUCAAGACUAGGCUUAUUAUGUAAUACUCAAAGACCGAGACUCGGAGAUUUUUAGCCCCAUUCUCAUGAACGUAUGUCGAUACUAUAAGAAGCAAUCUCAUGUCUACACUCACGUGAAUAAACAUGUUUAAUCAGUACUUUACCACUUGUAGUCGCUGAAUAUUCACACCUAAUGCCCAUCCACUUCACAACCUUUUUCAUGAACCCGUUAAACAUGUCGAUACAGAACAAGAUUAAAGUGACAAACAUUCGUCUUGUAUCAAAGACACGUCAUGUAUUUUUACAAACUACAACGACUUAACACCCUUUUGAUAUAUGACCGCUAAGGUGUACGUGUAACUACACAUGUAGUUCCUAGAGCACUUCGUGAGACCGUUUUGUGGUAGUUGGACCCAUUUUAUAUGUUGUAAUAGUGAUCAAAGUAAGUGAUUCGCAUACGACUCCAGGUACACACCAUCGACUCAGCCCUCGUCCGUGUCUACAGUACUCCUACUACCUCCACAAGUGGCUUAAUCCUCGAUUACUAGGCGUGAAGCGAAUAGCCCGGGUUCGGCUGUACCUCUCUACACGCCAUAUGGUUCAACUUCUCAACCUCUUCUCGUCCAAUAUACAACACUAUGUGUGUAUCCGCCCCGCCUCCCUUUUCACCACGUUCCAUAGGAUGUUCCACUGUUACGAACUACCACCCCUUCCCAAGCCAACGUUUACACUGGUCAAACGAGUAUACCGGAAGAGAUGUCAGUGUAAGGCUUCCAUUACCUCGAACAGGCAGAUCCUCCGUGCACGCCUGCGUAUGCUGGUCGAUUUACGUAACAAGUACCGGUUAGAAGACCUCUACGUUUAGAAGCGACUCAACUCUCUACCCGAUCCUAACGUAGAUAAAAAUCCAGGAAAGUCCACUUUUAGACUCGAUGAUAAAACAAAAGAACUUCUCGUAGUUCAAAUACUAGUUCUUGCGGGAGUUAGACCAGUCAGGUAAAGAACCUAACGUAGAUAAAAAUCCAGGUAUUGAAGUUAGACGGUCCAAAAUAACGUUGGCUUGUCUACAACAAGGAGGAUUGACUUGAAUUUAAAUGCACACGAAAUUCUCGUCUAUAAUCAAUCAAAGACUAUGAGUACUAAUUACCUUUUAAGGUAGAUCACUACGCAGGUAAAAUACACACGAAAUUCGCUUAAUAGAACUAUCGUGUACCUAACGGACCUUACGGUUGGUACAGAACUAACUUUCGAUAAAGAACAUGACGUUUGUAAAUGUGUAACAGCAUGGUUGGGACGCUCAAAAUACCUAUCCGUACAGAAACUCUUGUUAUUAUAGUAGUGUCAAGACAGGUACGUAUAAAUAACAAGUAACAAGACUUUAAUACACCUGCUAUAGUCGUAAAAAUAAUGAAAUAACAGCAUAGAGUACUUAAGCUAUUAAGUUCACGCGUGUAAAACAAGUGACGAAAAUAUGGUACCUGUCUAAUAUGUUCUUAACUCUUCACUAAAAGAAAAGUGUCCUACAUGCAGUGACAACGUGUACGAAAUGAGUGAAGUACUAGAACGUCAUACUUGUGGUUAACUAUCACUAUUAUGAGUAUGAAAACUUUUUAGCACUAACACAUUCCUCCCUAACAUGUCACGCCAAGUCAAAGGUCAUCAGGUUGUACUUAGUAAACACUUCGUACUUUCCGUACUUAGUUAAGAAAAAGUCCUAAGACCAAACAACUGAAUUCACCCAUAACAAUCCUCGAUCUCGCCAAUUUAAGUCCUUGACACACAAUUAAUUCAUCAGAAUUAACACGAAAUAUGAUAUUGAUCAUGUUACGGGGACGCAACGGUGCCCGGAAAUUAAAAAAAGUACAACCACAUAUUUUGAACUACUAUAAAAACGCGACAAGUUACUGUAGCGUACCCCUGGGAACAGCUACAAAAAUUUGUAGCUGUAUUAGGUAGAAACAGAGAGAGUAGGG